rnacentral:rRNA from 1 species
UUGCCAGACUCCUACGGGAGGCAGCAGUGAGGAAUAUUGGUCAAUGGCCGCAGGGCUGAACCAGCCAAGUCGCGUGAGGGAUGACGGUCCUAUGGAUUGUAAACCUCUUUUGUCAGGGAGCAAAGGGCGCCACGUGUGGCGUUUUGCGAGUACCUGAAGAAAAAGCAUCGGCUAACUCCGUGCCAGCAGCCGCGGUAAUACGGAGGAUGCGAGCGUUAUCCGGAUUUAUUGGGUUUAAAGGGUGCGUAGGCGGCCUGUUAAGUCAGGGGAAAAAGCCGGGGGCUCACCCCCGGCGAGCCGUUGAAACUGGCUGUCUUGAGAUGUCGAGAGGUAUGCGGAAUGCGCAGUGUAGCGGUGAAAUGCUUAGAUAUUGCGCAGAACUCCGAUUGCGAAGGCAGCAUACCGGCGGCGAUCUGACGCUGAGGCACGAAAGCGUGGGUAUCGAACAGGAUUAGAUACCCGAGUAA